rnacentral:rRNA from 1 species
CGUUGGAGCAUGGGCUUUAAUUCGAUUGCUACGCUGAAGAACCUUACCUGGACUUUACUUGGGGGUUAAAGUUUUCAGAGAUUAUAACCCUUCUUUCGGGUACGCCCUACACAGGUUCUGCAUGUUUGUCGUCAGCUCGUGUCGUUAGAUGUUGGUUAUAGUUCCCGCAACGUAGCGCAACCCUGGUCCGUAGUUGCCAUCGGUCAUUUCCGGGAACUCUAGGGAGACUGCCUGGUACAACCAGGAGGAAGGUGGGGAUGACGUCAAAUCAUCAUGGCCCUUACGUCCAGGGCUAGACACGUGCUACAAUGGCCGGUACAGAGGGCUGCAAGACUGCGAAGUCAAGCCAAUCCCUUAAAACCGGUCUCAGUUCGGAUUGGAGUCUGCUAUUCGACUCCAUGAAGGUGGAAUCGCUUAGUAAUCGCGGAUCAGCAUGCCGCGGUGUUACGUUCCCGGCAUUGUACACACCGCCCGUCUAGCCACGAAAGAUGGCAGUGCCCGAAGUCGCUA